GAGUUUGAUCUUGGCUACCGAGAUUGAACGCUGGCGGCAUGCCUUACACAUGCAAGUCGAACGGCAGCACGGGAGCUUGCUCCUGGUGGCGAGUGGCGAACGGGUGAGUAAUGCAUCGGAACGUAUCCUGGAGUGGGGGAUAACGUAGCGAAAGUUACGCUAAUACCGCAUAUUCUGUGAGCAGGAAAGCGGGGGACCUUCGGGCCUCGCGCUCUUGGAGCGGCCGAUGUCGGAUUAGCUAGUUGGUGAGUAAAGGCUCACCAAGGCGACGAUCCGUAGCAGGUCUGAGAGGAUGAUAUGCCACACUGGAACUGAGACACGGUCCAGACUCCUACGGGAGGCAGCAGUGGGGAAUUUUGGACAAUGGGGGCAACCCUGAUCCAGCCAUGCCGCGUGAGUG
rnacentral:rRNA from 1 species